AAAAGACUUAGUCCUAACCUUACCGUUAAUUCUUGCUAGACAUAUACAUGCAAGUAUCCGCGACCCAGUGUAAAUGCCCUUACAACCCUUACUAAGGGAAAAGGAGCAGGUAUCAGGCACACCCGCAACUGUAGCCCAAGACAUCUUGCUCAGCCACACCCCCACGGGUAUUCAGCAGUAAUUAACAUUAAGCAAUAAGUGUAAACUUGACUUAGUUAUAGCAAUUCUAGGGUUGGUAAAUCUUGUGCCAGCCACCGCGGUCACACAAGAGACCCAAAUUAACAGUAUGCGGCGUAAAGAGUGGUACUACGAUAUCAAAGCAACUAGGGUUGAAAUGCAACUAAGCCGUCAUAAGCCUAAGAUGCACCUAAGAUCUCCUUUAAGAUGACCCUAGCACCUUCGAUCAAUUUAACUCCACGAAAGCUAGGACACAAACUGGGAUUAGAUACCCCACUAUGCCUAGCCCUAAAUCUUGAUGUUUAUUAUACCAAAACAUCCGCCCGAGAACUACGAGCACAAACGCUUAAAACUCUAAGGACUUGGCGGUGCCCUAAAUCCACCUAGAGGAGCCUGUUCUAUAAUCGAUAACCCACGAUACACCCGACCACCCCUCGCCAAAGCAGCCUAUAUACCGCCGUCGCCAGCUCACCUUCCCUGAGAGCACAGUAGUGAGCACAAUAGCCUAAACCCGCUAGCAAGACAGGUCGAGGU
rnacentral:rRNA from 1 species